rnacentral:rRNA from 1 species
UACGAAGGGGGCUAGCGUUGUUCGGAAUUACUGGGCGUAAAGCGCGCGUAGGCGGUGAUCUUUGUCAGAGGUGAAAGCCCGGGGCUCAACUCCGGAAUUGCCUUUGAAACGGGAUUGCUAGAGUCCGAGAGAGGAUGGCGGAAUUCCUAGUGUAGAGGUGAAAUUCGUAGAUAUUAGGAAGAACACCGGUGGCGAAGGCGGCCAUCUGGCUCGGUACUGACGCUCAGGCGCGAAAGCGUGGGGAGCAAACAGGG